rnacentral:lncRNA from 1 species
GCCUGUGCAGUGCGGGGGCUGCUGGCAGGCAGAGUGCCGCCCCAGGGGCCCUGGGAGCUGCAGGGCAUAUUGCUGCUGAGCCAGAAUGAGCUGUACCGCCAGAUCCUGCUGCUGAUGCACCUGCUGCCGCAAGACCUGCUGCUGCUAAAGCCCUGCCAGUCUUCCUACUGCUACUGUCAGGAGGUGCUGGACAGGCUCAUCCAAUGCGGGCUCCUGGUUGCUGAGGAGAGUCGGGCUACACAGACCAGCUGUUCCAGUUCCUGCAGGCCACCGCCCAGGAAGAAGGGAUCUUCGAGUGUGCGGACCCAAAGCUUGCCAUCAGUGCUAUCUGGACCUUCAGAGACCUAGGAGGUUCUGCAGCAGACGCCGAGCCCUGCAGGCCCCAGGCUCCACCUAUCCCCUACUUUUGCCAGCCAGGACAAUCAGGAAAAACUAGAACAGUUCAUCCGGCAGUUCAUUUGUAGCUAGAACUGUGAGGAGGAGCCUGUGCUGAGACUUCUCAGCCCCAGAACACAGCUGUGUCCUAGAGCCAGAAGAUGGAGAGGAGGCUGCAAACCCUUAGCUGCUCUAUAAAUAUAAUCAUUGAGGCUUGAUUGUCCCUUGCCAUCUCUUGCUUUUUCCCU